GACGAGGGGUCCUAGCGUUGUUCGGAAUCACUGGGCGUAAAGCGUAUGUAGGCGGGCUUUUAAGUCAGGUGUGAAAUCCCACGGCUCAACCGUGGAAUUGCAUUUGAAACUGGAAGUCUUGAGUGUGGGAGAGAUUGGUAGAAUACCUGGUGUAGUGGUGAAAUACGUAGAUAUCAGGUGGAAUACCGGUGGCGAAGGCGCCAAUUGGCCCAACACUGAACGCUGAGAUACGAAAAGCGUGGGGAGCAAACAGGG
rnacentral:rRNA from 1 species